rnacentral:rRNA from 1 species
GACAGAGGUGCCGAGCGUUAGGCGGAAUCACUGGGCUUAAAGCGUGUGUAGGCGGGUCGUUAAGUGUCUUGUGAAAUCCCCCGGCUCAACCCGGGGAAUGGCUGGGCAUACUGGCGAUCUUGAGCAGUCUAGGGGCAGAUGGAACAAGUGGUGGAGCGGUGAAAUGCGUAGAUAUCACUUGGAACGCCAAAGGUGAAAACAGUCUGCUGGGGACUUGCUGACGCUGAGACACGAAAGCCAGGGGAGCGAACGGG